rnacentral:rRNA from 1 species
GACGAACCGAGCAAACGUUUAUUCGGAAUCACUGGGCUUAAAGGGCGCGUAGGCGGGCAUUCAAGUCCGUGGUGAAAUCCGGCAGCUCAACUGUCGAACUGCCGCGGAUACUGGGUGUCUCGAGGGAGGUAGGGGCGUGCGGAACUAUUGGUGGAGCGGUGAAAUGCGUUGAUAUCAAUAGGAACUCCGGUGGCGAAAGGCGGCACGCUGGGACCUCUUUCUGACGCUGAGGCGCGAAAAGCCAGGGGGAGCAAAACGGGG